CCCUAUGGGGUGCAGCAGUUGCGAAACCUCCGCAAUGCGCGAAAGCGUGACGGGGUUACCCCGAGUGCCGUCCGCUGAGGAUGGCUUUUCUCCGGUGUAAAGAGUCGGAGGUAAUAAGGGGAGGGCAAGACUGGUGUCAGCCGCCGCGGUAAUACCAGCUCCCCGAGUGGUAGGGAUAAUUAUUGGGUCUAAAGCGUCCGCAGCCGGCUUGGUAAGUCUAUCGUCAAAUCCAGCAGCCUAACUGUUGGGCCGCGGUAGAUACUGCUUGGCUGGGGGGCGGGAGAGGCCGAUGGUAUUCUUGGGGUAGGGGUGAAAUCCUAUAAUCCCAAGAGGACCACCAGUGGCGAAGGCGAUCGGCUAGAACGCGCUCGACGGUCAUGGACGAAAGCUAGGGUAGCGAACCGGAUUAGAUACCCGGGUAGUCCCAGCUGUAAACGAUGCGGGCUAGGUGUUGGAGUGGUUACGAACCACUUCAGUGCCGCAGGGAAACCGUUAAGCCCGCCACCUGGGGAGUACGGCCGCAAGGCUGAAACUUAAAGGAAUUGGCGGGGGAGCACUACAAGGCGUGAAGCUUGCGGUUUAAUUGGAGUCAACGCCGGGAAACUUACCGGGGGCGACAGCAGAAUGAAGGCCAGAUUGAAGGUCUUGCUAGACAAGCUGAGAGGAAGUGCAUGGGCC
rnacentral:rRNA from 1 species